CCUUGCUUGGGCACAAAGAGAGUCCGUGGGGCCUCGCGGUGCUGCCAUAGAAGAAAGAAGCUGAGGCGGAAAAGGCUCUUGUCUGCUGCCCGACUGGACCCAGAGAAGGCGUCUGUAAUGGGGCACUGAGGGGACGCUUUGUUGGGCUGCUCCGCUUGGUGUUCUGCCUGUUGUAGUACGAAAUGGCGACUGCCGUCUCGGUGCGGUUGGUGAUUGUCGUGUUAGGGACGCGGAGGAAGACCUGUAUACAGCAAGGUUUUCUUGGUAGCUAUAACUGCGUCAAUUCAAGAUGGCGCAAGGUCUCCCUGGAGAGGGAAGGGAGCUGCACGUCCGCCGGAGGUCAUGUGACCGUAUUGCAUUCUUGUGUGGGGCUUGGCGGCGCACCAAGCUGGCUCAGGAAGAGGAGGCGGUGCCUGUGUCGAUGGCUGUUGAGUGUUUGCCGGGGAGAGUCCCGUCGGUGCGGUUGGAACAUUUGCCGCGUUGGUUCCUUUCGUCGCUCUUCACACCGGCCCGCCCUCUCCCCAGCCUGUUAGUGUACAGCAGCUGUUUAGGGAAGCGUUUCGUUUAUCUUCAGUCCCUCCCUUCCCUAACUGAAGGGCGUAGGUGGCCUAGGACUUCCCCCCCACCCCCCGCCUUCCUCUUCCCCUCCUCCUCCUCCUACAUCUGCAUAAAAACUGGCUUCUGCGAGGGAAAGUUCUCGUUCCUUUUUCCACCACUAGUGGGGCGGGGGAGGGGAAGGCGAGUCCCUGACUCGUGACACCCAUGGGGGAGAGCUGUGUGCUGGAGUGAACUCCAGUCCACAUAUCCUGGCUUGUGUAGGAUUAAGGCCACGAUCCAGUGUAUGCUUGGUAUGAGCUCAAUAGAGCUUCCUCCUGGCUAAACAAAAAAUCUCAUGCUGCAUGAAUCUUCUUAAAUUUGAGUUAUUGGGGGACCAAAAAGAGCUCAGUGAAGAUUACUAUGUGAACAAAAAUGCACCUUGUGGCCGCCUAAAUUACCAGCUAGUUAUGGAAGAGAAUAACAAAUUAUUGGCUUUGUAUUGGAUAGGAGGGGAGAAAGCUAUUCAUUGAAAUCUUAGUUGUAUUUUAGUAUUUGCCUGUGUAUAUAGGCCAGCCUAGCAGAGACUGGUAGAUACUAACCCCUAUUAUAGGGGAAUUCUCUGUUCCUAAUAGGUUCUAGGUGCAAGGAGGAUGGUGUAAGGACCCAGAGGUUGGUUACAAAAAGCUUUAUUUUUGUAUAAAGCAUCAUACUACAGAAUUUGAACUAGUGCCUCUUCAUAAGGUGACUAGAAGAAUUCAGUGUACAUUUUAGACUUGUAAAAUAUUAUUCUCCAAGACAUUUAAUAGAAUAGGUAGAAUAAUUCUCCAAACCUCUCCGAAAUAAUACAGGAUAAAAUCCUUUUACAAGUCUAUAUCCUAGUUCACCAAUCUAGCAUAAUUUAGUGGUGCUUAGUUAUAGUUCAUGAUAGUUAAAUGUAAUAGCUAUUAAAGUGAAGAAUGCAUUGUACUUACUGUAAAAAAAAACCCUCUGAACUUAACGACAUGUUUUUGAUAUCUAUUUGUAUGUAGCCACUGUUGCUGUACUAUGUUCAUAGUCACUGAGAUGAAGGCUUUGAAAAUGUGUUGGCAUUGCUGUGGAUACUUUCAAAAUACUGACCUCUAAACCUUGAGAUAUUAACAUACUUAAAUGGAGCAUACUUAUUUAUAAUGCUCUCAACAAAGUUCUCAAAGUGGCUUAUGUAGUAAAAACUUAUGAGUGCUGAUGAGAUUUUAGGUAUGAGCACUGUCUUCAAAGUCUGAUCAUUAUGCUUGUGAGCAAACAGUGGCUAUGAUUUUCAGACUUUUAGCUGAGCCACUGGUAGGCAUGUCUAGAUUGGCUUUUGACAGUUGGUAUGGAUCAGAGCUGCACAUUUUCUUAGCACUGUACUAACUAGUAAAGCCUCUGUGACCUAGGAUGUGAGCAUUUUGGUGUAUCAAGGAUUGUUUACUCCCACAUAAGUUUGCAUGUUCGUUAGCAUCCAUAGAGAUUGAGUGUUUCUGCCUACAGAGGUUGUAUAGGUGAUCACUGGGGCCUGGGCCAUCUUGGUAAUGGCUUUGGAACACCUUUGUCAGGACUAAUAAGCUCAGGGGGAUUGGGAAAAAAGUGUAUUGCUGUGCCUCUUUAAGAUGCCUGACUUGUGUUAUUCCCUACAGUGUUUGUGUUUAACUUUCCUCUCUUCAUUUUAUCAUUUGGAGCUUUGUAACUUGAAGCUGUUAAACUUCAAAUUAAGACAUGAAAGAGGUCAUGUGGGUCAACCAAGUCAUUUGGUCACAUCAGGCAAGUGUCUGGAUAUUGAUAAAGCUGUUGCAGCUGAGUUGGUAGUAAAUAAAUGAUUAGCAUUAUCAAUCAACUGUGCUGCAGAAACACUUCCACUACACCCCCCCCUCAAAAAAAUCUUCCAUUUCUAACAAUGUAUUUUUGACAGUAACACAGAGGAUACAGUACCUGUGAAAUAGAGCCAUUUCAAAAGCUGUAAUUUUUAAAAAGAUAAUUAUCCUUGAACUGUUCACGUAACUACACAUUUGCUAAAUGGAGGGUGGUAAAGGUAAAGUGUGCCGUCAAUUCGAUUUUGACUCCUGGAACCCACAGAGGCCUGUGGUUUUUCUUUGGUAGAAUACAGGAGGGGUUCACCAUUGCCUUAUCCUGUGCAGUAAGAGAUGAUGCCUUUCAGCAUCUUCCUAUAUUGCUGAUGACUGAUAUAGUACCAGUGGGGAUUCGAAUGGCAACCUUCUGCUUGUUAGUCAAGUUAGCUACACUAAAAUCACCAACAUUCAAACAUGUAAACUGGAUCAUAGUGUAUUUGAACAUCAGGAAACUUGCAGGUUAAACUUAGCGGAAAAUGCAUUAUGAGCCCAAUUGAACCAUGGGUAGGUAUAGUAAAACUUUGUGGCCAACAAAACCUGUAUUGUUCAGGACUCUUUCCCGCUCCCAAGGGAGCUCUCAAAGUGCCUCAGAAGUACAGGAGCUACAAAAGGUAGCAAGGACAUGUCGGUUUGGCCCUGCACUUCUGAAGCACUUGGAGCAGCUUAAACAUAGUAGCACAGCAACCCUCAGCUUCCUCCCAUCUAAAAUCUGGAAGAAGUUAUUCCCCAGAGUAAUUGCUCUGGGCCUUAAAAAUGCAAUACGGCUGCAGGGAUGAUGCUCAAUCCCACUCAACUCCCAGACUGGGAAGCAAACUGGAGGGUAGCAAUAGCAUCCUUGCCAUAGCAGCAUGUAGAACUCAAGCAAGCUAUGGAAUCCAAAAGUCUGAAUAGGUGCCUUACAGUCUAGGGGUUUUGUAGAACUGGCUUACCUAAACUGGCCUUUCUCUUCUUUUUCUUUCUUUUUUUGAAGGCAGUUUUCUGUUGCAUUCGUGCUAUUGAGUGAGGCCCACUUGACAAUGUGGGAGGGACAGAAAGGAAGACUUACUACUUUAGAGGUCUCCAGAGAGCUUGUUGCUUGCGUAUAUAUACUCUUGAACCCUUUCCAUACUUUUGACUACUACAGCAAUAUUGGCAACUGUUUUAAAGGUAGUACUUGUGCACAAGGGGCACAAGUAGUCUGGAAAACUUCAGACCAUAGAUACCAAUGGUCAGCUCUUCGCAAGUGGUGGUGUAUCAAGGCCUGUGACCAAAGCUAGACUCAAAUCUAGUGUAGAUGCUCUCUUUGAAAAGGAAUUCAGACAGGCAUGUAUGUAUAGCUGUUCUGAGCAUCUUGCCAUGCUUCAAAAUUUAACUACUGCACCCCAACUGGCAUAGUCCUGACCUCCUUCCUCCAGAGAACUAGUUAGAAUAUGUUGGUUUCUCGGGCUUUUAAAAGUUAUAUGUGAAGUAACAAUUGUACAAGUAUUGAUGUUUAAUUGUGGUUUGGUCAUUUAGUCAACUGGGACUUGUAGCCAUUGUGACAGACUUGAUCAAAUCAUUGAAUUGCAGCUUUUAAACAUGUUCUUUGGCUCAGCUACAAAUUGUUGGCAGGGGAAAACAAUGCAUUAUGUAAGCUGCAACUUUGGGAUUCUAGCAUUAUUCCUUUCUUUACUGGCAGAAUCCUAGUCUGCAAAGGCAUAAAAUAAGUAUACUGCCAUCAGUUCUAGAAGAUGGAUCUCUAUCUAAUAUAGUAGUUCUUCUUUAUUUAGCAUCAUAAGGAUAUACUCUUGUCAAGCUAGCUUUUGCAUUAUGUAAGACUGAAGCUUACAGCUGAACUCAAAGUGGGAUGGUAAGGAUAUUUGUCUUAUAUCCUUUACAUUCAGGUUUUCAUCUGAAAGGACUUGCAGUAGAUGUGAGAACCUGUGAUGUCUGAGAGUAGAUAGCUUUAAAGGUUCUCUUGAUUCCCAUGGGAAGUCCUUUAUUAGGAAAUUAUGCAUGGUAGGAAUUCUGUUCCAGUGGGAGUGGGAAAAGCAAUCGAGAUUACUGAUACUAACUGCAGUGAAAAAACAUGGCUCCUUGAGAUGUCUACAGUGAUGCUCCAGUUACUUGGAAACUCUUCCUUUCACACUCUUGACUUGCACAACUAUACUGGUUUUAGCUACAGUAAAUAUAAUGGCGCAGUGGGGAAAUGACUUGAUUAGCAAGCCAGAGGUUGCCAGUUUGAAUCCCUGCUGGUACCUAUAUCGGGCAGCAGCGAUAUAGGAAGAUGCUGAAAGGCAUCAUCUCAUACUGUGCAGGAGGAGGCAAUGGUAAACCCCUCCUGCAUUCUACCAAAGACAACCACAGGGCUCUGUGGUAGCCAGGAGUCGACACCAACUCAACGGCACACUUUACCUUUAUUUGUGAAGUGGUUCUCUGGCUGCUAGGAUACUGAGUUAUGUGGUGUUCCUUUAUCCACAGAAUACAAAGCUGUUUUUUUAAUUUGUUUUAAUUUGAUAAAGCAAGUUCUCUCACUAUUAAAUCCAAAUUUGAGAAACAUUGCAAUUUAAAAAUAAAAGCUUGUUCACCAUUAUCCUGAUAGCAUUCAAUAUAAUGAAAACCAGGAGCCUCCCCACAAAUUUCUCAUAUCUGUCUGCUUGUAACUGCAAAGCAAUUUUAGUUUUUGUCAUUCAUAGGCUUUGAGUACAAUUGUGCCAGAGAAGAAUGUCUUGGUGUGAAACUAGACACUUUUAUAAGACUGGGAAGAAUACUGGCACACAAUAGUAGUAGCAGUGGUGGACCUUGUUAUCCUCAGUCCUAGCACCCAUGGUUUUGCCUAUCUACAGCCAGGCCAUGUGCACCUGGCCUUGUUAUUCACUGAUAAAAAACAGGAGAAAGCCCAAUUAUCCACAGUUGCUAGGUGGCAGGAAAUGACCUCCAAGGUCAUUUCUGGCCACCAUUUUACUGAUUGGAGGCAUUUUGUGCUUUCCAAACUAUUUUUGGGCUUCCCCAUGAUUUUUCACAGAAAAUAAGCACAGUUGGGGGCUUGGGGGUAAAUUGCUGGACAAAUGGACACCUGUAGAGUAUGGCAUGGUAUGUUGUUUCUCCAGUUUCUGCCUUUUUAUUGUGCUUUGCUUUCCAGGAACCUAACCCCCACCUUGCCCCCCGCCCAUUGACUUAAGGUCUCAUUAUCUGCAGUUUCAUUAUCCACAGAAAUGGGCAAGAAUGGAACCCUGUGGAUAACGAGGCCCACCUAUAGCUUGUCUUCUGAUCUGUUAAACAGAUUUCACCACUUCUCAGUCUGUCUUGUGAAUUGCAUUAGGCUUUUCAGUUUGCCUUACCACUAUAUCUCUAUUGAAUAGCUUUUAACAGUUGUGUUGAGUCUCAGACAAAAGGGCAUAUGAGACUAAUGCUUGUCGUAUAUCUCUUUCAUUUGGGUCAGUCAUCUAUGUUUGAAAUAACUGUGUGUGUGUGUGUCUGCCCUGUAGACUGGAAGGGAUCCAAAACAGAAUGUUUAAUGUACCAUGUUGGUAGCACUCUAGGAGUGCAAUCUAUAGUAGACAAGUGCUUUUCAAGGCCUUUUAACCAAAACAUACACUAAACAUUUCAUAACAGCAGGGCUGCACAUGUUGUCAACAACUGAUCAAAGGCCUACUCUGUUCAGAAGUGGGUGGCGUACAAGUGUGAGUAAAUCUUUAUUGAAAAAUAUUUUAAAUUGUCCUAUUGAUUUCACCAUUGCUCAACAGAAGUUCAAGUACCCACAUGCAGAUCGGGAGUAAAGAGUAAUUAUAAGGGUCUGACUCUCUUCCUUUCUCUAGGAAGAUAUUGGUCUCUAUCCUGAGGCAGUCUGUGUAAUUAUAGCAUCUGCCGGGUCAAACUUGUGGUAGAAAACACUCUGCUGUAGGAGAGAACAAAGUCUUCUCUUUGCCUGCCUGUGAAUAUCUCCUAUAAAUAGAACCCUGGCAACUGGAUUUCUGUAUCUCCCUGGCUGCAGCAAGAAAGAGACCUUCACAUCAGCUCAGUUGGGGCGAAUAUCCUGGCCCUUCUGCAUGCUGACAUCUAUGUGUAUGCAUGCACAUUGCUUGUCAAUCUCCUUUCUCAAGUUUUUCUAUGAAUUGCCUGCCUUUUUACUAGAAUCCAUCUGCUACCCCAUCUCCACUAACAUGUGCAGACAGCCAAAUCAAAUGAUUUGAGUAUUGACAGCUGGUGAGCUUUUUUAAUUAAGAGGCAGAAUACUAUACGAGUAUUCUAUCUUUACCUGUUGGCCUUGCCCCUGCGUUCUUCAGCCUGCCUGUCUGAGCUGCCCAACUGGAAAUAGGCAUGUGGUGGGUGGGGUUAAUGCAUGGGAGCUGGUAGUGGAACUCUGUCCCUUUUUUCCAGGCCUCAGGGCUUCUAGGAAAGCAGAGAAACAAAGCAUGAAAAGAAGACUCUAAAUAAAAUAGUGCAGUAGGCCAGCAAUAACCUCUGUAAGGAGUAGAGGGUUAUGCAUUGUUGGUGACAAAUGAGGUGUAGGUCAUGCAACCAUGUCAGGUGUGGGUCAUACACUUCACAGCUCAAUCUGAGCAGAAGUCUGCUUUCUACAUUUCCUCAGGUCUCUUGGUAAGCAUGGAAUCCUUGAGAAACAGCUUGUCACACUGGACUUCAGAGCAAGUAAACCCACCUUACCACUCCCAGGGUUCUCUCGUGUAUGUAAACUUGGGAGGGGAGGAGUCGGUGAUAACAAAUAACUUUGGGCUUCUAAGCGGAGUGUAAACUGUUGAUCACAAUCCAGGGAAGCGCUCUGUAGAUGAGCAGACUUCCACAAGUGUGUUAGUUCAUGGUAUUCCCUACCCAGGUGUAACUGCUUGGAUGUUUCUUGCCCCUCUCAGAUGUGAAUGAGUUGCUACUGCAAGAGAACUUGUGGUUUGGGAGAAGAUGUCAAAGAAUAAUCCUCACAUUAGUCAUGGCUUAUGAAUGGCCCUUUGUUUACUUGGCUACGGCUACGUCCUGGCUCUAUGGGUCCUAAAGCUGCAUAUGACUUGGUUGCAGUAUGGCCGAAGUUGCUAAGCAACUGACUUUACAGGUUUGGCAAUCCAACUCUCCAGUCCAGUCAUACAUAAAGUCUGAGACUUUGGCAAAUGACCUCAUUUGCUUUUUGAAGUACAGGAAGAAAUUCUAGUGUGUUUGUGUGGGGGUGGGGAUGUAUGUCACUUUCCUUAUAGUGACAUGGUUGGCAUAUUUAAAAACUGCAGCAAUGAUAUAACAUGCAUAACCCUUUUUGAAACAAUUUUAAAUAUGGAUUAAAAUAGCCUACAAGAAAUAGUUGACAAUGCCUCACAAUUUUGGAGCUGUUGUUCAUUUAAAUACAAAACUUUGACUAGGCUUUGGUAAACUUCUUUGGAUCUAGAACCUAGACCCUAAAUUUAGAAUCCAGAUUCAUUUUUCAUGCUUAUAGCCCUAGCUUAUGAAUGACUGAGAUUUACUUCAGAUAAAUCUUAUACCACCUACUGAAUACCUACAUGUAAAACAAUUUCUUAAACGUUGAGAAAAACUUAAUGUCUAAUGUACCUUAGAACUUUUCUUCCAUGAUUCUUUUUUAUCCUAAAGAAACAUGGUUUUCUUAUGUUUUGCUUUGUGAACUGUUUUGAGAACUUUUUAUUGAAAGUUGGUAUGUAAAUUUUUAAUAAAGCAGAGGAAGAAGAAAAUACAGGCCAGAUUAAUGUCAGCAAGCAACUAAUUUCUUGAUCUACACAGCCCUCUUCUGGUUAAAAAAAAAAAAAAAAGAGGGGGAAAUUACAAAUUUUGUUAUAGCAUAAAUCCAGAAUUCUUUCUCCUCUGCCCGCCCACAAAUGCUUGGAAGCUAGAUAGAAUCAGACUAUCAUGAGCACGUUCUCUUCCAAGCAUGGAUGUGGGAGAAUCUCAUACAUGGUGCCUUGCAAGGUGGAGAUGAGGGAAUAUCUCUCUCACAAACACUUACCUUGUUUUCACAGAGGAGAAUUUGCACAGCAGUCAGCUACUGCCUAGUAGCUCCCUUGCUCUGUAUCUGUAUUCAGAUUCUGAGAGGAACACAAGACCAGAAGUAGAGGAUGACCAGUAGGCUGCUGCUGUUAGAAAGCAGCACUGGCAGUAGGAAAGAACUGCAGCAGGAACACUUCUCCACUUCCUCGCUGCUGCUGCUGCCACCCUCUCUAUCCAGGCAGCAAGUGGCUGCCCCUCCCAAGAAGAGUGCAUAUACUGGGCAGCCAGCAAGAGCCUGGGCUGGUGCCUGUGCCACUGGUGGGGUACAAAUACAUUGGAGAUUGAUUUACUGGGGAGAAGAAGUAGAAGGUCCCCUCCACCCAACAAAAGGAAGGGGGGCUGGAAAUGAAGAUGUUGCUAGAACUAGGAGGAGAAGAGGUGGUGGCAGUGACCUGGUCAGAACUUUGCCUGGGCUGCAACUGCAAGGUCCUGGGCAGCCAGCUCUCUCCUCCUCCCCGCCCCCUUCAGAUAGCUCUGUUUGGGCGCUACAGUUUGUAAACUGCCCAGAGAUAUGAGUUUUGGGUGGUAUACAAAUAAGAUAAAUAUUAAAUCUCUGUCCUGUGGUGCCUGGGGCUUGUUGAGCCCCAAUUACUGUUGAUGUUAAAAGCAUAUAUAGUGGAAUCCACUCUUAAUUUGAUAAACCUAUCCUUUAGCUCAUUUUUUCAAGUCUUCUGUACUACAGCAAGGGUUCAUAACCUGGUCCACAAAUGCCCUGAGGCUCUUUGGGGUAGAUCCAGGUGGUCUGUGAGAAAUCUUUGCUGCACUAAACUUAAUUUGCAUCUGUGAGAGCCAGAAUAAAGUUCUUGAAAAUAACUAUCCUGAGGAUUUGUGUUUUCUACAGCUUAUAAAGUGGAUAAUAAGUGCUGGAACAACAAACCGCAUUACUAGAAUCAACCAGGGGGGAACCUACAAAUGUUUGUGUAAAGAAGUAAAUGUAAACAUUGGAACAACCCCCUUAUAACAAUUUUCCCAGGUUAGUAGAACAGGUAAGUACAAGCAUUCAUGAGAAACACUGAAAUUCUGGGACACAUGUACAGGGAUAUUUUCAUUCCGGUAUGGUUCUUGAAAAUGAGCAUGGGCCACUUGACAAAUUGAGGUGGUGUCUAUAUUUUAAUCUACCACCGUGGUGCCUAACUCUCUAAUCAUAGUCAUUGUCUCAAUUUUAUAGUGUUAUAAUAUUUUUACAAAUACACAUGACUGGUCACUAACAUGAGUAAUCUAAUUCAUUGUACAGUGUAUUUAUACACUUAUCACACUGAACUACUUUAACCAGGUAGACGACCUCUGUAAAAUGGCCAUUCUGAAACUUAUAAUGCAAUAUUUUUCUCUAGUCCACCUGCCACUGUGGUGUAACCAGAAUUAAGCUCUAAAUUUCCAGCCUUGUCCUACAGCUUACAAGCAGAUUGAUAAAGUAUUCCUUGCUUCCAUGUAAUCAAAGUGCUACCCAUGCUACUUGACCCACGGAGAAUGGGUGAAGGUGGUGGCAUAGGCACAUUGUAGGCUUGUUCUCAUGACUGACAACUGGGUGGGAGGAGGCUACAAGCCCCAUGCAUAUUCCUGAGAACUGCUUAUGUGUCAGCAAAAAUGGAGGGGAGGGGAACGGGGAUGUGAUAUAGUAUGGUAGCCAUGAUCUCUGGGUAGGAGUAUGAGAUGUGUGGAAUACUGUGCUGGGUACACAAUGGGGGUUGGCCACUUACCAGAUCACAACUAGUGCACUCCCUCCUCUCUCCAAAUUUUUGCACAUGACAAGUUCAAGAGCACAACCGGGAUGUCCCUCCUACCCAUCUGUGGUUAUGCGAAUCAGCCCAAUUUUUAAAUAAAAGAUCAUGAAAAGAUUUUGUGAAUCUAACAUAGUAGAAGAGAACCCAAGCAAAUGGGUAAUAAGAGAAGCAGUAAUAAGAAGCAAAGCAUGGUACUAUUUGGUAGCUUUGUACAUCAAAAGUCCAUUUGAAUGUCAUAGAAUAUGAGGACUCUGCUAUGGGUAAGCAUGAUAUACUGGCCUUUUCUGAACUUUUUGCUUGCAUAAGACAGAAAAAGUAGUGCCUUGAUAGUAUUCAGGCUUGCCGAUCUAGCUGUAGUGUAGCAGGAAUGCCCAGAGUAGGUAGGUGAAGAACUAUAGUACAUUAAACAGGGUUGAAGAAAAAGUUACUUACACCCACCUAUCUCAGCCUCAAGUUCAUAAAAGAUGGGGUGUAGUUUUGCCUUCAGAAAGUAUGUAGUAGGCUGGGCUGUAUCACAAGGUACUGAAUACAGUGAAGCUAUUCACUUGGCCAAAGCAGCCAACAGCUUUACUUACUAACACAUGUUAAAUGUUGAUAGUGCAUUUUGUAGGGGUUUGAGUCCAUUCCCAUUAGUGUUGUUUCAGUUUGCCUGAUGAAAGGACAUCAAAUUGGAGGUUAGAUAUGGUACAUCAAAAUCUGACUUCACCAUGGGGCAGCUGUUGCAAGAACUGUUUCACUGAAGCACACCAUUCACAGGCACUCCAAACAGCAGAUGUCUAGAGAAAUCUAGAAGAACUGCCUUGGAACAGUAAAAUUGGUACCACUACAACUUGAAGAAGCAGAGUAACUGUGGGGAAGAUGGUUUAAUAUGUCCACCAAGGUUUCACACACCAGAAACUAAAGACCACCUGGGUACAGGUCCCUCAAAUCCAUAGUACAGAUUGGAAGCGUACUCCUCUACUUGAAUUUAGCAUAACAUGUGAACAACUGCUGCUUAUAUUUCUCAGGUAGCAUGGGAAGAGCAACUGACCCUGUUCAGCCACAGCAUAGCAUCUCUCCAGUGACUGUUGCUGGUGUCUUUUUCCUUUUCUUUUUCCUUUUUAGAUUGUGAUCUCUUUUGGGACAGGGAGCCAUCUUUUUUUCCAGCUAUAGGGAGAUCAUCCUCAUGAUGGGUUAAUAUCCAUCACAUGCUCCAAGACGGGGCCAAUGAAACUUUGUCAGGCUAGUCUCACAUCAUACAGCUAUUACUAAGUAGUGUACAAAUAUUCAUAGUAGGAGCAUAGUUACCUAUACAAUCCGUACUACAGUUUGUACGAGUUGAACAUAGAGUGUGAAGUGCUACUGAAUGGAGAAAAUAAGCAACUGGCUGGCUUGUGAGCCAGCUGUACUGGCAGUUCUUCCAUGGUGCACAUUUAAUAGGUGUUAUGUUUUUAUGUUAAGUCUAAAUUGUCUGCAAUUACAGGGUAUGUAUAGAAUAGAUCCUGUCAUUGCAAGAAGUAUAUAAACAAAACUUGGAAUUUCUGCCACAUCAACCACUUGUUUCAGCCUGCAGAAGUGCCCCCAAGUGCAAAGCUAAGAAUGACAGAUUCAAGUCUUCGCUUGUAUUUUGUGGCACAUGCAUUCAUGCCCUAAUGCUUCAUCCUAAGUUAUUUUAUAUCCAUACCAGAGAUGGUCUUGCUGGUCUUACGGUAGCAAGCGUGACAUGUCCCCCCUAGCUAAGCAGGGUCUGCCCUGGUUGCAUAUGAAUGGGAGACUAGAAGUGUGAGCACUGUAAGUUAUUCCCCUCAGAUGGAGCCGCUCUGGAAAGAGCAGAAGGUUCCAAGUUCCUUCCCUGGCUUCUCCAAGACAGGGCUGAGAGAGGUUCCUGCCUGCGACCUUGGAGAAGCUGCUGCCAGUCUGUGAAGACAAUACUGAGCUAGAUAGACCAACGGUCUGACUCAGUACAUGGCAGCUUCCUAUGUUCCAGGGUAACAUCACAGCCAUAUUUGCUUACAAAACAAAUGCUAAAAGCACAGGGCAACUCAAUUUUUUCAUUCUGGCAUUUCAAUGAACAGUUAAUCUCAUGAGAUCCAUGUAGAAAACCACAGUAGGUGAACUGACCUCCUGUCUUUGGAGAAUGUAUAGUCUACACAAACUGUGGUAUUUUAUACUCCCAACUUUCCAUGCACAUGCUUGAAGGCAGCUAGUAUCUUGCCACUUUCCUUUUGUACUGUGCAUUUUUCUCACCCACAGUGGCAACUGAUGUACAGCUCGGACUAUUCACUUGAAUCCUAGCUGUAUGUCAGUUGCCACUGCGGGUGUGAAUCCCCCCUACACAUACUCUUGCUUCAGUGGAGCAUGGUUAUGCAUGUCUGGGGUUUUUUUUUGUUUAUAAAACUCACCCCCUAUUUUUAAUUAGAUACUGUUUGACCAGGUUUCUGUUAUUAGAUAUUGUUUGAUCAGUACCAAAUUACCCCACCCCAGGACAGGGCAACUUUGAACUUGUUCAGCCACUUGAAAGGCAACUCAGGUUAUGGAUUUUCUGAAAUUUCCUUUGCACAGAGACCUCCAUGGUAUUUUUUAUCAAUGUUGGAAGUUAAAUACAAAGCCUUUAUACCUCUUAGCAAAACCUCAGCAGUUGUUAAUAUUCAUUAAAAGGCAGAAUUUAUUUUCUUCGUGGGUUGCAAUGUCAACCGGGCCCUCUAUUUUAUAUUAUUCUUGAGUUUACCUUGUGCUAGCCGGCCCAAUCAUUUAGUACUCUGUGUACUAUAGCUAAUGGCUAGGAUCAAAAUCUUUGCUGUUUCUAUAGAGACAGACUACAAUUGCAGUGCAUCUUAAAUACCUGCAAAUUAGCUUACAAAUGAUAGAAGUUGUUAGGUUGGUCUAGUCGUUGCAGCACACAUACAGAGGAUGAAAAGAAUGACCCUAUAGCACUAAAACAAUCACAAAAGAGGGCUGAAAGUAGGAAACAAAACCAUAUUAAAAGGAAAUACAUCAGAGAUUGUGAACAAACUGCAUAGCUAUAUUAGGGAUGUCAGGCUCUCUGACUACUCACAGCUGGACUAUUAUUGGGGUUCUCAUCUCUUUCAGCAAAGUUUGAUGCUUGUGCUGAACCGUGGACAGCUACAGUAAGGCUGAUACCUUUUCUUAAAAAUGGUUAAUCAUGAAAUAGUUAAGAGUUCCUGUUGCCUUACUACUGAUUUAAACAACGUCUUAUGCACAUACACACCCACAUUCUUACAUAUACUAGCUAAUGUGAUGAGGAAAUUUUUUCAUAGUCCCAUUGAAAUUAAAAGGACAAAUUGGGCAAUGAGCCUAUUCACACAGCAUGAGCAGCUCAUGUCAUCUUGAGCACCUGGAGUGCUCUGAUCCUGGCUGCUUCAGACUUGAGUAGCCUGUUUGUUGUUUAUUUUACCCAGCUCAUUACCAAAGUUGAAUUGACCAAAUGUUCAUGCUAUCUUGGUAGACAGUAUACAAUCAAGUGUGCAAUCGACCCCAGGUAGCUGGGUUUCCCACUGGCCUGCCACAAUUUCAGACAGUAAGCCAGGGAGAAGGAGUGGCCGCACACAGCAGAGCAGCUACAAUACUGAGAGCAGCUGCUCCACUGCUCCCAUGGUGCACUCUGGGAUACAGGAGGACUUCCUCUUCCCAAGCGCUUUUCAUGCAGCUAUUCAAAAGACAGCCUAUCACACAGAACAGGAAAUUCAAUAUUUCAAGGCUCAUCUCCCUUGAAGUCGUGAACUUUGCCCAUGCUCCUCUCACUUUUACUGUCAUGAAUAUUUUCUCUACAAUACUAUGAUCACAAGGUCAGCAGUACAAGAGCUGACCUUGCUCAGAUGAGGUUUUUUUUUAAAGUUACAAAGUGGAGAUCCUUUGAAAACAGUUUAGCAUUUCAUGAAGCGUUGUGUUGAUUACCCCACAAAGAAUUGAGGAUAACUUUGCAGAGAAAGCUAUUUGAUCUGAAAAGCUGUGUUCCUGAUAUAAAUACACCUUUUAAAAUGUACGAUUCUAAAAUCAAAGCAGAACCCUUGUGUUACUUAGUACAUGUAUAGGCAAAAUAAAUGCCCUGAUGCCUGCAAUCUCAGAAUAUGCAGAUUCUCAAGUGUUUGCAUAUCCUGGCCCACACAUGCAAUGAAGCAGCCAAUAUGAAGCAUUUGUAUGGUUUUGCUUGGAGUAGAAUUUGGGGAAAUGGUAUACAUGAAUGGAAAAUAUCAAUAUCCUGAUUUUCUUCGCUUUCAUGAGUGAUUGAGAAGUGGAGGUAUAUGGCCUUCCAAGUUUGGGGGAAUGAGACUAGUCUCCCCUGUCCAAAAGCUAACCUGAGGCUUCUAGAUAAUAUUGCUGGGCAUAGGCAAACUUUGUGGAAGAAGGGGGGAUGGAGAAGGAAUUUCCUUUAGAAAGAUGGAAAUGUUUCAGGAAACAACCAGGAAGCAGGCUAGUUUUGAGGUAACUGUACUUCCUGUUUAGUAUCUGUAGAGAAACUACAAAAUGUGUGUUGUCACAAAGCAUGAUCCUUCCCUUUUCUCACAGUGUGUGCUGAUCAUCUCAGAUUACAAAUGCACUCAAGAAAUCCUGCUUAGUUGUGACCUGCCAUUUUGCAUUUUAAUACAUGAACCUUUAAUACACAAUCUUUGCAAAAGGCUGGAAGAAAGCCUCAUUCCAGAAAGAAAUGUGGAGAAUUUUUUAAAAAUCUGCAAAUAUAGACCUCACACACACACACCCGAGCAUCCACUUCUGUCCAGUCUGCCACUUUAAUGGCUGCAGGCAGGAAUUCAAGAGAUGCAGCAUUCCCCACUGACACAGUUAAGACAUCAAGCCACAGGCCUCACAAGCUUACAACAGAAUAGAAAUAGCACAUAACAUAAAACACCAGACAUAAGACAUAAAUAUGCUGGGAAGCUACACCUAUUUAAUGUCCCAUAAAAUACACAGAGGUGCAACUAAUAUGAACCUACUACUCCCUGAGCUUGUGGGGUGAGGCCCUCUUGCAUGUCCUUUCUCCAUUGGAAUUUUGGCUAACACCAAUGUACGAGAGGACUUUUUCUGCUAUGGCAUACAGCCUGUGAACUCUGCUCUAAGAAGUUAAUUUGGCUCUCACGCUGGCAGCAUUCUACAGAUUGUGGAGAACUCUUUUAUUUCACCAAGCAUUUAAUUUUAUUUAGUUGGUCUGUUCUCCAGUGUUUCAGAAUAAUUUCUGGUUUCUCUGGCAACAGCUAUCUUAGGUAUGACUUUGUACCAUUACAUUUGAUGAGGUAAAUUAGUCAUGUUCAACUUAAUUUCAGUGGAUUCAGUCAUGACUAACGUUAAUCUGGAUGCUACCCUAUUUUUGCACUGCUGCUUAAUUUUUGUGGUUCAGAUUAUUUUUAUUGCUUUUUAGUAAUGUUUUAAUGAUGUCAGCUACUUUGAACAACUCUUGUUAAGAAUGGAAAGGUGGGUUGUUGUAAUUUUUUAAAAUAAAUAACUGAACUCUCAUUUUCACCUUGAUAGCCAAACUGUCAUUAUGCACGAACACUUUAUUUUGCAAAUCUGAUAGAUAGAUACUUUAUUUACGGCCAGCAGCCAAAACAUUUUGCAAAUCUGAAAGUGGAGUAGUGUGGAUUCUGUCCAUUUUGUGGUAGAGGAUAAUUCUCCAGACUCAAGCUACCUUCAGAAUGUUUCUAUACUAAACAUAAACAGCUGUUAUAGCUUUAUGGUUGCUUAACUAUGAAGGCAAAGUUCAAAAUCUUCUCUGCUAUAAACGUUAAAUAAAUAAUUAUAUAAAAGCCCAGUGGGUGGCAUUGUGCAACUCAGUCUCAGUCUAGCUUGGUACAAAUCAUUCUCAGUCUAGCUUGCUUUAAGAAUAAUUGCAAGGAAAGAAUGGAAGAGAGAAGGAAGGGAAGAGAGCUGGCCUUGUGGUAGCAAGCAUGACUUAUCCCCUUAACUAAGCAGGGUCUGCCCUGGUUGCAUAUGAAAGAGAGACUAGAAGUGGGAGCAGUGUAAGAUAUUCCCCUUAGGGAUGGAGCUGUUCUGGGACAAGCAUCUAGGUUCUUCCCUGGCGUCUCCAAGAUAGGGCUGAGAGAGAUUCCUGCCUGCAACCUUGGAGACGCCGCUGCCAGUCUGUAGACAGUACUGAGUGAGAUGGGCCUAUGGUUUGACUCAGUAUAUGGCAGCUUCCUAUGUUCCUGGAAUGCAGCUAAUAUAACCUGCCCUCAGGCAAAAACUAUUUUUUCCAGGAGUCCAGAAGAUGUGCUUUGCCACAUCAUCUACACCUCUGACAUGUUCAGGCCUUUUAAUAAAGUUAGCACCUUCAUUAUAGAGCACAUGCUUUUGACCAUACAUAAAAAAUCCCAGCAAAUAUAUAGUUUAAAUGUGAGAUAUCUGUCUUACAACCUGAAGCCACAGGAAUGUUUUUUUAAUCACUUCUUGCUUAACAUUUGAGAGAGGAUAGACAAAAUUGCUCCAGGAGGAGAAUCCAGUUAGCAGCCCAUCACCCCUGCUUUACAACAUUCAGUGGUGAAUAUUGUCCUGACCACCCCUUCUUUACAACAGUUCAAUAUUCCUCCACAUUCUUGUAAACCCACUUGUUGGUUCUGCAUUUUAAAUGUAUACACUUACCAGAGGUGGGGGUGAGGGUGGACACAGAGCACAACUGCAACAGCAGAAGUGUCUCUAUAGCAGCAAAGCAGGACAACAAACGGGGAAAGCCUCAAAAUGGGGAAGAAGCAAGAGCAGCAGAUAGGUUCUGGAAUGAGCUGUUUGCAAGUGAGAACAGCAACCAGAUAAGAUAAAACAGUAGUGGCCAGCCGGAAUCUCUCCAGCUGUUCUUGGACUACAACUCCCGUCAUCAUCCCUAGCUGCAAUAAAUUGCAACCUCAGGUUGGCCACACAAGACAGACCUAAAUUGGUGAAACCACAUACUUCUUUAUUCCCCAUCUCUUGAAAGAUUGUGUGUAACUUCCUCGUGCCCGAGCAUAAAUACUGUGGUAGAACUGGGAUGGGGAUGAUUGUUGCUAGCCUGCAAGAUGGGAGACUACUGUUUCUUUAACAUUCCGGAAAAAUGAUAGAGGCUGCUCUGUAUCAUUUCACCCAGCUUCACUCUCACCUGCUGGAGCAAGUGGUACUCUUGUUUUGCUCUAUAGCAGGUGAAGGAAAUGGGUGGGGUGGGAAGAGAAGAGAGAAAGGAAGAGUUGAAGAAGCUGUUUGGCUGUUAAAGGAUCAGGAAGGUUUUUCAAGACCAGUGUCUCUGGAUCUGGAAAUAUGUGAAAUGGCAACAGAAGUCUUUACACAAGGAACUUCUUAAAAUAGUAAUAUAUAUAUAAAGUGAGAGACUAAAAGCUAUAUCCAGAAGCACACACACCGAAAUAGAGAUGAAGGGAAGUCAGGCACCUUCAGCCUAGCUUAGCCUACCUCACAGGAUUGUUGCAAGGGCUGCUCUAAAAUCAUAUAAGCUGCCCUGAGCUUGGAGGAAAGGUGAAAUAAAAUGUUAUUAAUAAAGGAUUUUAAAUGACCCUAUAAAAGGCAUUGCUAAGACUACUUUCCAGUUGAAUCUGCUCUCUCAUGGACCCAGUUUCCCAAGCCCUAGCAUCCUUAUGUAUAGAACUGCCUUAUAUCUCUCCCCCUGCCCUUUAUCUUUGCCUCUUUUGCAGCUGGUUUCCCUGAAUGUGGUAAAAACAAUAUGUCUGGUUUUUCCAUUGCAGAGUGAACCAUUAAUAACUUAGUUUUGGAAUAAAACGAACUUUAGAAAUAUUUAGAAGUUUUAAUUUAGAAGAAUGUAUAUUUCUCCCCAUGCCCCGCAGUGAAACUGAAUAAACUUUUGUGUGUACUGGGCAUGUGUUUUUCUUUGCGCAUGUGUGCAUGCAUAGUUAUCCAUUAAGGAGAAGCUUUCAGACAGAUUACACAAGCUCCCAAGACAUCCUGUCCACAGAAGCAGCUGACAGGAAUGCCCAUUGUUCUGGUUUGCAUUUUCUGUGUCUAAUCUGAUUUUUCAAGGGCCAUGUGGAAAAUGCAAAUAGAAAGGCAUUUCAGAGCUUCCUUGAGGGCACAAUUGUGUAAAAACAUACUGGGUGCUCUGUUGGCAACAGUGGGAGCAGCAGCUUUACACUUCUUGAAUGUUUGACAAGAAUACAGCUACAGCCCAGGUAUUCAAAGUACAACCUUUACUCUGUGAAGCUGCUGAAUAGAGCAGCAGCAGGACCUCAGUUUUGGUUAUGUAGGCAAGGGACCUGUGUAGGUUACUGCUAGGUGCACUGCACAAAAUAAUCUAAGGUUGGCACCUGAAACAGGAAGACCCUGUCUCUUUAAAAAAAACAACGAAAAGUGUAGCCACUGGAUAACUGCCUCACUAGUUCCUUCACUUACCUGUCCCUCUUGCCCGCUGUUCAGCAAUAUGAGCCUUAUUUAACUGUUCUAUUAUAUCUAGUAAUAUUUUACAUUUUGUUGCUGAGAAGUUUGUCCCAGUGGAGAUCCUGUCAAGAGUGGGGAUGGAUGGGUGGAAUCAGGAGAAAAGGGAGUGAAAGGAGAAAGAGAAAAUGGAAUUGCUUCUGAAUAAACAGUUAAAUCUACAUAAGAUUUCUUUAAGACUAUUCACACAACUGGGAAGUGAGUUGGGUGGUUGGGGGGUAAGGCUGCACAGAACUUGCCUCUCUCCCCCCGCCCCCAUCUCAGAUUAUCCAUGCUGCUCAAAGGUGCACCUAGGUAAUUUCGGAGCCUGGACCUAAAGGCCUUUGGAGCCUCCCUCCCCUCCUCCUGAAAGAUAAGCAUUACCCCCCUACACAAACAGUAUUUUGUAGUGGAUUCAUGGAUUCUUGAGGGCACAAACAGCAACUGAACUCACAAGAAUGUAAGAAUAUAAAACAGGUAUAUUCAUUCCAAUAUGCAUUAACAGAAACAUUACCCGGUGCAGCACGGCCCAGUAGCGGGCACGAUCACACCACCUGGGACAGACUAAUUAGUGUCUGGGGGUGGGGGGGCCCUGGACCUUGGUCCAGGGAUAAGAGUGCCUGACGCUGGAUCACCGGACACCCCCAGCCUCCAUGUAUACCACAAUGUACUGCUUGACAAGCAUAGUGCAUUGGGGAAUUCCCCAUGAGACAGGCUCCCUAGGUGCUUGGACCACACAACCCCAGCGCCAGGAUUAAAGGCAUGCUUGCACCCUUCACUUUGGUAAAGGGCUGGGGUAAAAAGCUGGGGCAGGCGGGAUCCUGGCGAUGCACAUGAGCAGCCCAACCCAGACUGGGUUGCCCUAGCCCGGGUUAGGCUGCUCGUGAGAACAGCCGUUUUGUUUCUAUGAGGGAAGCAGCUAUAAAACAUUAACAUGUUAGGCAGAGGAGUUGUUUAGGUGAAGGGAUGAUGAAGCAGUGAGGCAGGAGCCAUAGUGCCUGCAGUCUCACUGGUAGAAGCAGGAAGUGGCUACCAGCAGCAUCAUGUUUUCAACAUUCAUGGGCCUUUUGCACAUGUGGAAGCUCCACAGACUGCCCUUUAAACACAUGAUCUAGAUUACCCAUCAUCAUCAUCAUAACUCUUGAACCAAUAGAUCCCCCACCCCAUAUACACUUGAAAAUGUGAACUCAGGAUGACUGAUUCUGUUGUAUCCAACAGAGCCUGUAGCCAGAAACGGCCAUCAGGUGGGUUGCACCAGCAGUGGCCCAUGGCCAUCUUCUGAAGAUAAGUCAGAGAGGACUUUAGAAUGCAGUUGGAGAAGCAGGAGCAUGGGACAUUGAGAAGGAGCAGGACUUUAGACUGACCAGUCCUUCAGACUUACCCAUACAGCAUAUCAUAAGACUUUACACAAUAUUUGAACAUUUGAUCUACCCAGGGCUUUAAGAAACAUUUUUCAAAUAAUUGCCUUUUUAACAUCUAGGUCAUCUGUGGCUUUUUACUUCACCCUAAUUGACAAGAAUCUCUUGUUGGAGAGGAAGUUUCAACAGCAAAUGUGCAUGCUUUUUCCCCAUGAUGCUGAAUGAUGCUGUCAGAGUUAGCCAAGGAAGAAGAAUAAUCCAAGUAAUGUCACCCAUUUACAUCUCACUUAGAAGGAUCCCCUACAGAACCUGAUUUUAAAAGGAGGUGGGUGGGUAAUGAGGCUACACUAUGUGUAUAGCCUCAAACUUUUACCUGUUGCAAUGACAUCAAAUCCAAAGCCCAGCCCCUGCACAAUGAUGUAAAAAGAUUCACUGCUAAGGAAGUGGCUUUUUUUGUAAACAACCAUCAGCUCAACAAUUUAUACUUAUUGGAGCACUCCAAAGGGUGUAUGUGUGUGUGUGUGUUUGACCCGCGGCAGUAUUUUAUUUCCCAGAAACCAAUAUUUUCAACCUAUUUCUGCAUUUUCUCUUUUUGUGUCUACAAAAUAAUAAAGAGGAAUUCCAAAUGGAGGGUGUUUUGUUUUGUUUUUAAACCAGAGAUUCAGUAAGCUCACACAAGAACUGCUUGUGGGAGUUAUUCUUGGGCAUCCACACCUAGGAGUUCUUGUAUUAGUACAUGCCACCAUUUUCUGUCUCCACCAAGGCAGACGUGGAUUGCGGUCUGGUAUUCUGGGUGUAUCCAGGAGACUGGGCUUACCAUUAAGCCCAAAAAGUGUCAGGUUGGCCUGAAUUGGGUAACCUGUUUGGGGCAUCGGGUGGGCAAAGGUACCAUCGCCCCUGGAGGCCAAGGUUCAGGCUAUCCAGGGGUGGCUGAUGCCGAAGAAGAAAGGGCAGGUACAAUCUUUCCUGGGGUUAGCAGGAUAUUAUAGAAAGUGUGUCCCAAACUACAGCAGCAACACCACCCCACACUCUGAUCUGACCAAGAAAAACAAGCCCAAUGUGGUGGUGUGGUCGUUCCCUAUCCCUUCUACUUUCACUGGCAAUCUAAAGUGCUUAAUGCGAACAUGCGCUGAAAGCAACAACUUUUACUUUUCUGUUUAAAUUUUGUUGUUGCGCAAUAGCACACCUCCAGCUUACUGACCUGCAGCCUUUCUCUCUCUCCCACACACAUAUGUAUGUUGAAACUCCUGUGGUGCUUGCUCUGAAAGAAAUAAAGUGUCUCUUUGUUCUCUGGUCUUUGUUGUGGAUGUUCUAAUAAAUUAUUUGCUGAAAACUUCACUGAAUUGUUUCCUUUUCUUCCUGCCCAAUUGUCCCCCUCUAAUGACUUGGCUGUAUUCCUAUACAUACUUCCCUGGGAGUGUGUCCCAUAGAAAUAAAUGAGAUUUACUUUUGAGUCAGCUCUUAAUUGUGCUACUUUGACCACAUAGUUUAAAAUCUUAAAUUGCUGCACUUUUAAUUAUGGGUGAGAGUGGAGUAUAAGUGCUAUAGCGUAAAUAUUGCUUGUGAGGGCAACCCAGUAGUUGGGUGGGGGAGGUGGAGGAAAAUCAUUCAGUGUUGCAACCUGAGGAAGAAGGCACAGAGACUGUGCCCAGACAGCUGGCCUUUGAGUAAGGAUUGUUCAACACUUGAGGCUAUGGACACUACAAUAUUUCUCACCAAAUAUCAACUGUCCAUAAUCCAUCACAGGUACGCUUAAGCUUAUUGAAACUUAACGUUGUGAUGGAUCGUGGGCUAUAUUUCUACUUGUUUGGAAGCAUCACAUUUGUACUCAUGGUCCUGUCUCACUACAUUUACAAACAUUAACCAAAGUAUUGGCGGCGGGAGAGGGAAGGACAUGACCCACUAAUACAUUUUUCUCUUGCAAAUCACUGCAAAAGCUACUCUCAUCAAACCAAAGUAUUAAACUCAAGUGGUACACAGAAGUGGAUCAGGUCAGGAGGAAGUACAACACUGUUUGAAAUUAAAGCUCUUCCUCCAUCCUUGGGUAGCAGUGUCUAAUGAAGUGGAUGUGGAAGCCCUGCAUUUACUUGGGAGAGUCCUUAUGCUUCAGUGUCCAGGGGUAAUUGGUUUAAGGAAAAUGUGAAGAAUUUGGCACAAUGGAAAAUGCUUGUCAUAAGUCAGCAAUAUACAGUAUUUGUAAAGCAGAGGCCAUCUAAUACAAAUAAAGACUGGGGAUCUCGAUUAAUUGCUUGCAAAAGUUAUGAAAAUUUCAAAGGCUGAGGUGAGGAAGAAUGGGAAGAACUCCAGCCCCUCCUACUCCGUCCUUUCCACUCCAUCCCUCUUCACUCCAGCUCUCUUUAUUCCCCAGCCCUCCAAUCCCUAGAAAUAUUAAUGUGAUGCUCUUUCUUUCCUUCCUCCUAUAUGACUUUUUAAAAUUGUCUGUUUUUAAUUUUAUGGCUGUUUUUAAAUUGUUGCAUUGUUUUAACUUAUAUAUGUGUUUUAAUUGUUUUUAUGUUAACCGCCCAGAGACGAAAGUUUGGGCGGUAUAGAUGUUAGUUAGUUAAAUAAAUAAAUCAAUAAAUAGCCUUGACACUC